AAGCGUGGGUAGCAAACAGGAUUAGAUACCCUGGUAGUCCACGCCGUAAACGAUGGAUACUAGGUGUAGGGGGUAUCAACUCCCCCUGUGCCGCAGUUAACACAAUAAGUAUCCCGCCUGGGGAGUACGGUCGCAAGAUUAAAACUCAAAGGAAUUGACGGGGGCCCGCACAAGCAGCGGAGCAUGUGGUUUAAUUCGAAGCAACGCGAAGAACCUUACCUGGACUUGACAUCCCUUGCAUAGCCUAGAGAUAGGUGAAGCCCUUCGGGGCAAGGAGACAGGUGGUGCAUGGUUGUCGUCAGCUCGUGUCGUGAGAUGUUAGGUUAAGUCCUGCAACGAGCGCAACCCUUGUUAUUAGUUGCUACCAUUAAGUUGAGCACUCUAAUGAGACUGCCUGGGUAACCAGGAGGAAGGUGGGGAUGACGUCAAAUCAUCAUGCCCCUUAUGUCCAGGGCUACACACGUGCUACAAUGGUAGGUACAAUAAGACGCAAGACCGUGAGGUGGAGCAAAACUUAUAAAACCUAUCUCAGUUCGGAUUGUAGGCUGCAACUCGCCUACAUGAAGCUGGAGUUGCUAGUAAUCGCGAAUCAGAAUGUCGCGGUGAAUACGUUCCCGGGCCUUGUACACACCGCCCGUCACACCAUGAGAGCUGGUAACACCCGAAGUCCGUGAGGUAACCGUAAGGAACCAGCGGCCGAAGGUGGGAUUAGUGAUUGGGGUGAAGUCGUAACAAGGUAGCCGUAGGAGAACCUGCGGCUGGAUCACCUCCUUUCUAAGGAGA
rnacentral:rRNA from 1 species